ACAACGAACACAACCGCGCCAGCAAAGGCGAAAACGUCAAACCGAAAUAUUGGUCGCAAAAAUGCUGAACGCUGAUAUUUGGAAAUCGUGGGAAAGAAGUGGAAAAUCUGAAUUCUUGAAACAGUGCAAAGCACUGCUGAAGGAGGAUAGCGGAAGUCCGCUGCUCGGAGAGAAUGGCCGGAAGACGGAUAUCGCACGGGCGAUCUACGAGCUGGUGUCUCACGGUAUUCGGGGACCGAUCAAAAAGGAAAGCGCCCUGGUGAUGCUGGGGGAGUUGGCCAAUUUGCACAGUGACAUUCCGUCAAUUAUGUUGGAUAUCUUUGGCGUGCUGGACGCGGAAACGGCUGCGGGAGGUGGUGGGGCAAGCGGCACCGAUGCUUCCACCGAGGAACGCGGUGCGUUUUGCUACAUCGUUAAGGAGUCGGAGCGGUUCCUUUCGGAAAAGUUGCUAAAGGAACGGCUGGAGAUCGACACACUGCAGGACGUGGGGACAAUCAAGAAUAGAAGUUUUUACACCAAGUUCAUCAAGGUCAAGACGAAACUAUACUACAAACAGCGCCGUUUCAAUCUGUUCCGCGAGGAAAGCGAAGGCUACGCCAAACUAAUUACCGAACUGAAUCAGGAAUUCACCGAAACCAACACAGUACAAAGCAUUCUGGAAAUCAUCAAAUCCCUCAUCGGCUGCUUCAACUUGGACCCGAAUCGGGUGCUCGACAUUAUGCUGGAAUCGUUCGAAACCCGACCGGAACAGGAUAAAAUCUUCAUUCCGCUGCUGCAGUCGUACAUCAACGAUGGAAACAUCAUUUGCGAGGUGUUGGGGUACAAAUAUCGACACUUUGCCGAUAGUCGGACUCCGGAAUCGCUGUUCAAGGUGACGGCUCUGCUUCUGCAGCAUGGAGUGAUCAAGCUGGACGAUAUUUACGCCUGGCUCAGUCCGACCGAUAAACUGAUCGUAAGCGAAUGGGAGACGGAUGUGAACGAUGCGAAAGAGUUCGUCCGGAAGUUGAAUGUAGUUUCGACGAAUAAGGAUAAAGAGCAAGAACCGGAACCGGAAAAGGAGAUGACUCCGGAAAAGUACGCUACCAAUCAGAAGUGGGGUCUGUGUGAGGCUCUUCUACACGUCGGAGAUUGGAACACUGCUCAGCUCUUGCUGAAGAAGCUUCCGGAACAGUCGAUCAUGGUCCAUCAGCGGAUUGCCGGAGCGCUUUCCCGUCUGUUGCACAUGAUAAUCGAACCGGUUUAUCGUCUGAAGUGUGCCCUUCCGUGCAACAUCAAGGGGCGUCCCAUCAGCAAUGGCCUAAGCAAAUUGGCCCCAGCGCCGGUGACCACAAUCUCUAAGCUACGGAACCAUGCAUUCCCGAUGUUCAUCGCCUUGGGACCUUCUCUGCACUUCGAUCCGGUUCUCCUGUACAAACUUCUCCGCCUGGUUCGGGUCAUUCUCACGGAAAUGAACGUCGAUCCGGCCAACACCCCUGCCCCCGGUUCGGAGAACGAGCAGCUCUACUACGACAUCCUUACGCUGCUGGAUGCGUCGAUCCUUCCUUCCCUGUCCUACAUGGACUGCAACUGCUGUGUGGCCGAGGAAAUCUGGUCCAUUGUGAAGCUCUAUCCGUACCAAUUCCGGUAUAGUUUGUACGCCCGCUGGAAGAACGACACCUACCAGCUGCAGCCGAAGUUGAUUCGACGGCGGGGGAAUGCCCAGAAGCAGAUCAAAGCGUUGAUGAAGCGGGUCAGCAAGGAGAAUAGCAAACCAGUGGGGCGACUGAUCGGCAAGCUGAGUCACUGUUCGCCGGGGUUCCUGUUCGAUUAUAUCCUACUGCAAAUUCAAAUCUACGACAAUCUGAUCACGCCGGUUGUGGAUUCGCUCAAGUAUCUGACGUCGCUGUCGUACGACGUGCUCGGAUACUGUCUGAUCGAAUCCCUGGAGCAGGUCGAUCGCAACCCGAUGCAGAACGAUGGCACUUCGAUUUCGCUGUGGCUGCAGAGUUUGGCCAACUUUUGCGGGGCCAUCUACAAGAAGUACAACAUCGAACUGAGUGGGUUGCUGCAGUACGUGGCCAAUCAGCUGAAGGCGCAUAAGAGUUUGGAUUUGCUGAUUUUGAAGGAAGUGGUGCAGAAAAUGACGGGGAUCGAGGCGGCGGAAGAGAUGACAGCCGAGCAGAUUGGAGCCAUGUGUGGAGGAGAACUGCUGCGUGGCGAGGCCGGCUAUUUCAGUCAGGUGCGCAACACUAAGAAAUCCUCCCAGCGCUUGAAAGAUGCCCUGGCCAGUAACGAUUUAGCUGUGGCGCUCUGUCUGUUGAUUGCCCAGCAGAAGCAUUGUGUAAUCUAUCGGGAAACGGCUUCCAGCCAUCUAAAACUGGUGGGAAAACUGUACGAUCAGUGUCAAGAUACGCUGGUUCAGUUUGGGACAUUCCUCGGUUCGACGUACUCGGUCGAAGAGUACGUCGAUCGGUUACCAACGAUACACAGUAUGCUGCAGGAGUACCACAUCCACUCGGAUGUGGCGUUCUUCCUAGCGCGGCCAAUGUUUUCCCACGCCAUCAGUCAAAAGUACGACCAACUGCGCAAGGCGGAUCAAAACUCGAAGAAGCUGUCCACCUCGCAGAAGAUGGUCAAGUAUCUGGAAGCGACCGCUUUCGUCAUGAAUCCGGUAAUCGAAUCGGUUCGUCCGCUGCACCCCCCGAAAGUAUGGGAGGAUAUCAGCCCCCAGUUUCUGGUCACAUUCUGGUCCUUGAGCAUGUACGAUCUACAAGUUCCGGCCGAAAGCUACCAGCGUGAAAUCAAUAAGCUGAAACAGCUUUCCAUAUCGGCGAUGGAUUCCAAGGAUCAGAACGCUUCAAAGAACAAGAAGGAACAGGAGCGGCACGUAGCUCUCAUGGAGAAGCUGCAGGAUGAACGCAAGAAGCAACAGGAACAUGUGGACAAGAUUAUGCACCGCUUGACAAACGAAAAGGAUUCCUGGUUCCUGUCGCGCUCUGCUAAAUCCGCCAAAAAUGAAACUAUUACUCAGUUCCUGCAGCUUUGCCUUUUCCCACGAUGCACCUUUACGGCGCUGGAUGCCCUCUACUGUGCCAGAUUUGUCCACACGAUCCACAGUCUGAAAACGGCCAACUUCUCCACCCUGCUCUGUUACGAUCGGAUAUUCUGCGACAUUACCUACUCGGUCACGUCCUGCACCGAAAACGAAGCAACCCGAUACGGUCGGUUCCUGUGCGCCAUGCUGGAAACGGUCAUGCGCUGGCACGCCGACCAGAGCACCUUCAAUCGCGAGUGCUCCAACUAUCCCGGAUUCGUAACGAAGUUCCGCGUCAGCAAUCAGUUCUCGGAAGCGAACGAUCACGUCAACUACGAAAACUACCGGCACGUGUGUCACAAGUGGCACUACAAGAUCACUAAAGCCAUGGUGUUCUGCUUGGACUCCAAGGACUACAUGCAAAUCCGCAACUCGUUGAUCAUUCUGAUGCGCAUCCUCCCGCACUUCCCGGUACUGGCCAAGCUUGCGCAAAUCAUCGAGAAGAAGGUCGAAAAGGUCCGCGAAGAGGAGAAAAACCAACGUCAGGAUCUGUUCGUCCUGGCUUCGAGUUACAUUGGGCAGCUGAAGGCCAAGUCCGGCCAGAUGAUGCGGGAAAGUGACUUCCAUCAGGUGUCGGAGAAACCCGUCAAGGUGGAACAGCAGGAAGCGAAGGCUGUGAACGGAGAUAGCAAAAGCGAUCGCAAGGAGAUCAAACUGGAGAAGAAAAUCAUCGUCUCCAGCAAUUCGUCGUCCAGUUCGUCAAAGCAGCAGCAAAGUUCCAACUCAUCGUCCAACAACGCCACAUCCAACAACAGCAGCAACAACUCGGACGUCAAAAUCGUCGAACGCGAAGUCAAAAAAGAAACGCCCGUAAGGGAAUCGACACGCGAAACGUCGGUCAGCAGCAGUUCGAAGGAAAAAUCAUCCAAGGAGAUCAAACGAGAGGAGCGAGCGCGUGAAAAGGAACGCGAACGGGAAGAGGCCGCCGCCGAACGGAAGCGCGAAAGAGAGAAGGAGAAGCGACGCGAUAAAACUACCAGAGCCGCCCUGGCAGCAGCGGCCCAAGUCGAGUACGAACUCCAAUUGCAACAGCAACAGCAGCAGCAACAACAACAACAACAGCAGCAGCAGCACCAGCACAGCAGUGAGAGGGAAUCGCGUGCCAGCGAGAGAGAUCGGGAACGGGAUCGCACCGAACGGGACCUCAGCUCGGUGUCCAACUCCAGCAACGAGCACCGGCGCAGCCAGGAUCCACCGGAGCAUGACAGAGAGGUGAAACGUCGCAAGCUGGAAAGUUCUACCUCAAAGGUUAGUAUUGUGGUGUAAAAACACUAUGUAUCACAGUGAGUGCAAAUUCGAAAGAAAAGAUAGAGAAACCGCCGACCCGCACCGAACGGACACCGGUACGGAGAGAGAGAAAAAAAUACCGAGACGAGGACUGAGGAGGGUGAAGGUGAUUCGAGCGAAAACUUGAGAAUCGUCAAAAUGAAGUGAAGUGUGGCCCGUUAGUGAAGAAAACCAUUGGAUCGAAAGAGGGGAUGCACGCUGUGGAUGGUAUCCGGAUAGGGUUGUCCCGAUGUACGUGACGGAAGCUGCUGGACCAGCCGACAGACGUGUCAUAUCGCACCGGAACCAAGACGAUUGACACAAGGGAAAGGCAUCAUGUGAGCAGAAAAAAUAGACCUUGGAUUAGAUGAAGUAGGAAAUCCAAUUACCGUGAAUCUGUUGUGCAUAUUGUGCCAUUUAGCGUCCAUUUCAAAUGCUAAUGACCCCAAUUAGAGUAAUUUCGAAUAAAGUUGAAUACAUGAAAAGUAGUAUUACGGUGAGAUUGUUGUAAGCUACCUAAGCACAAACAAACAUGCAAUGUUGAGGGGUAGAUUCACGGCAACAUUUGAACCAGAGAUGUACCAGGAACUGGAGCUGAUUUUCGGAGUCGGCCGUCGAGGAUACGCAAGGAUUCAGAUCAUACAACUUUGUAUAAAAACCGAGACCAAAGAUGUGGCAAACGCCACAAGGACAAGUCCUGAGAAUUGCAAAAAAGACGAGGAUUCCCAAAACGCAUGAUCAAAAAAUCGGCACAAACGGCAAACGCAUCAUCAAGAAGUCGGCACAUAAGACUACGCGAUCAGGAUCACCCACUAGUUGUCCAACAAAAAUAAAAUAUUCAAAACGUCGCGUAGCCAUGAAAACCGUCAAGUUAUGCUAUGGAAUCGAAGCAACCUAAAUCACAACUAUCCUGAGACAACCUCCAGAGCAGAGCCGUAUGAAGCCCAUCAAUCAUGGCAUGCUAAUCGAGCAAAACUGAGAUUUAACGGUUGGAGUACACAAUGACAUCUGGAUUUCAAACCCAUGAACCACGGAACGAUACCAACUCAUCGAAGGGGCGGUAUGCAGCAAACAACACUAACUUGUUGGAAGCAGAAACACAACUCCGGGAGCGUGUAGUUUUAUUAAUACACAAAUGUGAAACGAGUUAUUAGCAUUGUUUUCUGGUGAUUCGCUGAAUCAGUAAAAUUUUGACGAGUUUCUUCAAGAGAGCAUUUCUUCAGACGCGUUGGCUGACCGUAAAUUUCAAGCAAAUAAUUGUUGCAUACUUUUAAUAUACAGCUAAUAUUACUCAAUCCGCGUAAAUCUUAAAACCAUUAAAUCCACCAACAACCUAAUCUGUAAACCAAGCAUUCGACACAAAAUACAGUGAACCAAAGUCCAGCAAAAAUCCGUGGUUUCGAUAGCAGUCGACGAUAGGUUCCCGCCGUGUGCGUGUUCGUUGGGUUUGUGCAGUGUAGUUCCAGGUUCGGUAAUCCACCGACCCCCGGUUCGAUCCAGUGAAGCGCUCGUAAUCGCUAGAACUUUUGGUAGUCCAUCCUCUCGUCCGUGGGUCUUCCUACUAUAUCGGUGCCAAGAAUAAUAUAAUAUCCAGAAUUGCUUCGAUUGUGGCAACGAAAGUAUUGCAGAUUUCCGAAAAUAUAAAGACCUCGCAGUACCCAAUUAUUAGCUAUGCCAAGGAUCAAUCAAAAUUAAGCCCCCCGAAAGCAGGUAUUGUCGACAGCCUAUUGGAACACCCUUCCCUCUUUCGAUUCCCG